rnacentral:tRNA from 1 species
GCGAGAGUGGCGGAAUUGGCAGACGCACUAGACUUAGGAUCUAGCGGUUUUUACCGUGGGGGUUCAAGUCCCCCCUUUCGCACCA